rnacentral:lncRNA from 1 species
CUUUAGCGCUCCCAAAGAAGACCACCGUUCACAAAAGUAAUCCUGGCUUUCCCACACUGCUUCUUGCCCUGUUGAUAUUUUUCCUGGUGUUAGCAAUCUUAUCCUCUGUUGGUCUGACCACUUUGUUUCAUAUGUAUUCUGAUCUCCUUGAAGAAAAAAAUACUCUACAACAACUGAACCACGCAAAAUUGCAUUGUAUAAAAAACCAUUCGUCCGUGGAAGACAAAGUCUGGAGCUGCUGUCCAAAGAAUUGGAAGCCAUUUGGUUCCCACUGCUACUUCACUUCCAGGGACUCUGCAUCCUGGAGUGACAGUGAGGAGAAGUGCUCCCACAGGGGUGCUCAUCUGUUGGUGAUCCACAGCCAGGAAGAGCAGGAUUUCAUCACUGAUACUCUGAACCCUCGUGCUCAUUAUUAUGUGGGGCUGUCGGAUACAGAGGGCCAUGGAAAAUGGCAGUGGGUUGAUCAGACACCAUUCAAUCAGAAUGCCACAUCCUGGCACGCAGACGAACCCAGUGGCAACAAGGGAUUUUGUGUUGUGCUAAGUUACCAUCCAAACCUUAAAGGAUGGGGCUGGAGUGUCGCCCCUUGUGACGGUUAUCACAGGCUGGUUUGCAAGAUGAGGCAGCUCUACGUAUGAAUGAAGAAUUCUCUACAGACACAUGGACUGGAAUCCAUAAUUACAGAGACAGCUAGGAAGUUCUUCAUUUAGACUUCUCAGGGAUCAAACAAGGAAUUGGAAUUGUACCAGCAGGCCAGCUUCUUAGACAAUCCCCCUCCCCCCAGCUGUCUCUGUGUCUGUCUCUGUCUCUCUGUCUUUCUCUGUCUGUCUGUCUCUCUGUCUCUCUCUCUCUGUGUCUUUGGAGUCAGGGUCUCACUAUGUACCUCUCGCUGUCCUAGAACUCACUAUAUAGCCAAGCCUGGCUUCAAAUUCCCAGAGAUCCUCUUGCCUUUGUUUCCCGAGUGCUGGAAUUAAAGGCAUGUGCCACCACCACCCAGCUUCUUAGUAAAUUCUUUAUGUGUAA